rnacentral:lncRNA from 1 species
UGGCAUAUGGAAGCUUCCAGGCUAGGGGUCAAAUUGGAGCUGCAGCUGCUGGCCUAUGCCACAUCCAUAGAGAUGUGGGAUCCCAGCCAAGUCUUUGACCUACACCACAGCUCAUGGCAAUGCUAGAUCCUUAACCCACUAAGCAAGUCCAGGGAUUGAACCUGCAUCUUCACUGAUACUUGUUGGGUUCUCAACCCACUGAGCCACAACAGGAACUCCUUCUUUGAUUUCUUUCAUCAGAGUUUUAUAAUUUUCUUCAACUAGAUUUUGUACAUAUUUUGUUAGUUUCAUGCCUAUUCUGUCAUUUUAUUAACUUAGUAUUCAAUAGCUAUUCUUAUUAUAAUAAUAAAAAUGGCAUUAUCAACUGAGAGUGACACAUCUCCAUUGACAUAUUUGAAGGGGGCUAUGUUGAUUUAAAUAAGCAUGUUCUGGUAUUGUUUCAAAAGAUCAGUACUUAAUGAUGGGUACAUCAGUGUCAGUAAUACCAUCUAUACUUAUGUCAUGGUUAAAUAUUUAAAAAAUAAAAAUAUGACAACUUUUCACUUGUAGAAAUUGACAGUAGUAGCAUAGCACAGAACAAAGCCAUAUACACCAAAGUAGUGAAUGUCAGUUUCACAACCUAUGUAUGUAUAAGUUGGGGCAAGGUAUUUAACCUCUUUGUUUCUGAGUUUCUUCAGCUGUAAAAUAUAAGAAUAUAUUAGCUGAUUGGGCAAGUGGUGCUGGGAAAACUGGACAGCUGCAUAUAAGUCAAUGACAGUAGAACACACUCUCACCAUACACAAAAAUAAACUCAAAAUGGCAUAAAGGCUUCAACAUAAGACAUGGUGUCAUCAAACUCCUAGAAGAGAACAUAGGCAAAACAAUUUCUGACAUCAACUGUACAAAUGUUUUCUUAGGUCAGUAACUCAUGGCAAUAGAAGUAAAUAUAAAAACAAAUGGGACCUAAUCAAACUGACAAGUUUUGCAUGACAAAGGAAACCAUUAAAAAAAAGAAAAACAAUGAAAAGACAACCUGUGAAAUGGGAGAAAAUAGUUGCAAAUGAUGCAACUAACAAGGGCUUAAUCUCCAAAACACACAAAAAACUUAUACAACUUAACAACGACAAAGAAACCGAACUGAAAAAUGGACAGAUGACUUAGAUGUUUUUCCAAAGAAGACAUAUGGAUGGCCAGUAGGCAUAUGAAAAAAUGCUCAACAUCACUAAAUAUUAGAGAAAUGUAAAUCAAAACUACAAUGAGGUGUCACAUAACACUGGUCAGAAUGGCCAUUAGCAAUAAAGCUAAAAAUAAUAAGUUCUGGAGAGGGUGUGGUGGAAAGGGAGUCCUCCCACACUGUUGGUGGAAAUGUAACUUGGUAUAAUCAUUAUGGAAAACAGUAUAGACAUUCCUCAGAAAACUAAAUAUAGAAUUACCAUAUGAUCCAGCAACCCCAUUCCUGGGCAUAUAUCCAAACCAAAAAAUAUUUUAAAAAGAUGCAUGUAUCCCUAUGUUCACCACAGCACUAUUCACAAUAGCCAAGACAUGGAAGCAGAUGAAUGGUUAAGGAAGAUGUGGUACAUAUAUACACAAUGGAAUACUACUCAGCCACAAAAAAGAACAAAAUAACGUCAUUCCCAGAACACGGAUGCAACUAGAGAUUCUAAUACUAAGUGAAGUAAGUCAGAAAAAGAAAGACAAAUACCAUACGAUAUCACUUAUAUGUGUAAUCUAAAACUGGUACAAAUGAAUCUAUCUACAAAACAGAAACUGACUCCCAGACAUGGAGAACAGACUUGUGGUUGCCAAGGGGGAGGAGGAGGGAGUAGGAUAGCCUGGGAGUUUCAGGUUAGUAGAUACAAACUAUUACAUUUAGGAUGAAUAAACAAUGUGUAGCAGAGGGACUCUAACUACUCUCUUGGGAUAGAUCAUGAUGGAAGAUAAUAUAAAAAAGGGAAUGCAUACAGAUGUAUGACUGGGUCACUUUGCUGUGCAGCAGAAAUUGACAUAACCUUGUAAACCAACUAGAAUAAAAAUCAAUAUGUAACUACUAAAUAUUAUCUUAGUCUCUUUUAAAAAUCAAUGGGUUAUUUUAUAAAAAUAAAGUAUAUAUAAUUUUAAUUAUGAAAGCAAUAUAAAUGCAUCAGAGGAAAAGAGAAGGAAACACUAGCAAAUAGCCUGAUAUCCGAGACCACUAUUAACAUUUUAAUGUCUUUCUUUCCAGUAUUUUUUCUGAUUUAUGACUUUUUGCUGGUUUUCUUUUACACAGUUGUGUUCCUAUUAUAUAUACUAUCAGAUAUCCUGGGAUUUUCUUUUUUACUUGACAUUAUGACAACACUUUGUUCAUUUUAGAAUAAAUACUGUUUUUAGUAGAUGGGUAACAUUCUAUUCAAUAGCUUUUUAAAUUUACCAUUGGUCAUUUAGACUGCAUCCCAUUUUCAGUUAUUUCAAUAACCUUAAUGAAUUUUUUUUUAACCAAAGCUUAUUUCCUUAGGUUACUUGAUUAUGCAAAGAUUUAUUUAAUGAUUACAUAGGUAUGGAUAUUAAUCAAACCAAGUAAAUAAGUCUGUGUAUGUAGGUACAAUAGAAAUUGCAAGUAGGGAGGCAUUAUGUAAUGAUGAAGAAAAACUUGUAUAUUAAUUCAGUACAGAGCACCUGCACAUAUGAAGUUAGUUAUAAGAUAGCCUCCUCAGCCAACUCUCUAGUAUACUUGAUAAUCUAUAGUCAAAUGCAUAUAUCUUCCAUUGCAUGAACUACAUGUAAACAUUAAUAUCACUAAUUAUACACACACCACCUUUAUGUUAUACCUUCAUACAGAAUAAUGACUGUAUUGGGGAAGGUAAAUUCUGUUUAUAUGUUUAACUUCAGGUAUAACUAUUCUUAAAAGAGGUAAGAUUGAUUGCAUUAGAAUGAGCAAGUAUGACUGGAAAAUUCAAACAAUAGAUUAUAAUGAUUUGUAAAGUUGGAAGGAGCUUUAGAAUCCCAUUCCAGGAUUCUCAAACCACCAAACAAAUAUUCCUUUGAUUGUCUCUAACUUCUCAGACCCAAUUCCUUAACAAUAGUUUUUACUAUAAAACAAGUCAUACUAUUGACUCAUAAAUAUUGGUCUCAUUUAAAAUUAAGCAAAAAAUAAAGCUAUCAAUUACUCUUUCUUGCUAGCAUAAGAUAACUAAUAUGAUCCCAAUGAGUUGA